ensembl:lncRNA
UAUUGAACAGCAACUCCCUAUUUCUCCCUGCCCCCAGGCAAAAUUACCAUUCUACUCUCUGCUUCUUAUGAGUCUGACUAUUUUAGAUACCUAAUAUAAGUGGAAUCAUGCAGUAUUUAUCCUGCUGUGACUGGCUUAUUUCCCUUAGCAUAAUGUCCUCUAGCUUUACCCCUCUGUAGCUUUUCUUUUUCAGGAAUGUUUUGACUCUUGGUCCUUUUUCAUUCUACCUGAUAAACUUUGAAUCACUUUGUUAAAUUUUCCAAAAACCCGUGGCAAGCUUUGAUUACUCUACAUAGGUCUAUACGUAAUUUUGGGAAUUAUUUAAAUUUAAAAAAAAAGUUUAACCUGUUAAAGUUGCAGCCAAAGGAAAGAGGAAAUAUGUAAAAUCAAUUGCAUUGUUUUUUUUUUAUACAUGAGGAGAAAAUAUUUGUUUUCCCAAGCCCAGUGUGGCCUCGGGACUCUGAUGUGGGUUUGGUUCCUGGAAACCAGAGUUGGGAUCAAGAACAGGGCAGGGCUAGCCUGAGGCUUUGGGAACAUGAGACAAAUACAGAAGCAAUGGCAGUAUUAUGCGGAAAAGUCAGAACUGGGAACCAAUAAAGCAUACCCAGCUUCACAUCCAGCAGGAACUAGGUAGAAAGGCGAAUUCCACAGCAACUGGAACUGGAAAAAUGGAACAGGUUCCUAAGGACAAUUAGAAAGACAUUUGGUAAGAUCGCCUCAGAUGGGCAUGCAGAGUGCCAAGCCUUUAUGAAAUUUUGCCUGUACUUGGGGAAGAAGUUGUUAUAGGGACUAAGUUUGUUGAGAUGCUCAGGAAGACUUUCUCAAAUAAGACUUUUUAUAGAUUGUACAGACAUAUGAUGGAAAUGUUUCUUAUCCUCACAGCAAAUGCAAUAAAUGAGUAAUGGGUUUUUGAUAGGUCAUUAUGGGGAAGGGGCAUGGAGAUGUGCUUUUCAGGUGUCCUGUUAGAAGAGCCUGUUGUGGAGAGUGUAGCUGACCAAUAGUCUCCAGCCUCUCCCACCAAUGACUGGUGGCACAGUGGGGAUACUCAAAUCAGGCCAUUCCUGCCUGAUGGGGAUUCCUUUAAUGGGCUGCUCUGGCUCAGGAACUCCCAUCAGCCUGGCCAAAACUUGCUCAGAACUGCAAUAUUUGAGACUCUUCCUACCCAAUCUUCUUUCCUUCUCUCUCUCCUUUCACAUGUGUCAAGCUGAUAUUGUGGUCUGAAAAUGAUUCCUACUUCAGCUCCCUACCACUUUAUCCUUCACAGGCAUUUUCCCAAUAAGUCUCCUGUAUAUCUAAUCCCACCUUGGCUUCUGUUUAGAGGAGUCCAUUUGACACAAUUGUCUAAGUGGUUUAGUAUCUCCUCUGUACUCUACUCCCACCCACACACAUCUGCAUACCUGUACAUUUAUCAAGCACUUAGGUACCUUAUGCACUUAAGGUAUUAUGCUGAUUAACACAUAUUUAUUAUUGUAUUUACUCCUUGUAAAGAAGUGCACAGUUUAAAAUGGUUAAAAUGGGCCAAGAGCAAUGGCUCACACCUAUAAUCCCAGCACCUUGGGAGACUGAGGCAGAAGGAUUACUCGAGCCCAGGAGUUAGAGACCAACCUGGGCAACAUAGGGAGACCCCCACCCUGUACCUACAAAAAUAAUGUUUUAAAUUAGCCUGGCAUGGCGGCGCAUGCCUAUGGUUCCAACUACUCAGGAGGCAGAGGUAGGAGGAUCGCUUGAAUCCAGAAGGCUUCAGUCAGCCAGGAUCAUGCUACUGCCCUCAGCCUGGACAACAGAGUGAGACCCUAUCUCAAAAAAUAAAAUAAAAUAGAAUAAAGGCUUCAGUGAGCCAGGAUCAUGCUAAUGCCCUCCAGCCUGGACAAUGGAAUGAGACUCUAUCUCAAAAAAUAAAAA